AACGAACGCUGGCGGCAUGCCUAACACAUGCAAGUCGAACGAGACCUUCGGGUCUAGUGGCGCACGGGUGCGUAACGCGUGGGAACCUGCCCUUAGGUUCGGCAUAACUCCCCGAAAGGGGUGCUAAUACCGGAUAAUGUCUUCGGACCAAAGAUUUAUCGCCUUUGGAUGGGCCCGCGUUGGAUUAGCUAGUUGGUAGGGUAAAAGCCUACCAAGGCGACGAUCCAUAGCUGGUCUGAGAGGAUGAUCAGCCACACUGGGACUGAGACACGGCCCAGACUCCUACGGGAGGCAGCAGUGGGGAAUAUUGGACAAUGGGCGAAAGCCUGAUGCAGCAAUGCCGCGUGAGUGAUGAAGGCCUUAGGGUUGUAAAGCUCUUUUACCCGGGAUGAUAAUGACAGUACCGGGAGAAUAAGCUCCGGCUAACUCCGUG
rnacentral:rRNA from 1 species